AUUGAACGCUGGCGGCAGGCUUAACACAUGCAAGUCGAGCGGGGAAAAGUAGCUUGCUACUGGACCUAGCGGCGGACGGGUGAGUAAUGCUUAGGAAUCUGCCUAUUAGUGGGGGACAACAUCUCGAAAGGGAUGCUAAUACCGCAUACGUCCUACGGGAGAAAGCAGGGGACCUUCGGGCCUUGCGCUAAACGAUGAGCCUAAGUCGGAUUAGCUAGUUGGUGGGGUACAGGCCUACCAAGGCGACGAUCUGUAGAGGGUCUGAGAGGAUGAUCCGCCACACUGGGACUGAGACACGGCCCAGACUCCUACGGGAGGCAGCAGUGGGGAAUAUUGGACAAUGGGGGGAACCCUGAUCCAGCCAUGCCGCGUGUGUGAAGAAGGCCUUUUGGUUGUAAAGCACUUUAAGCGAGGAGGAGGCUACUUUAGUUAAUACCUAGAGAUAGUGGACGUUACUCGCAGAAUAAGCACCGGCUAACUCUGUGCCAGCCGCCGCAGUAAAAC
rnacentral:rRNA from 1 species